GAGAGGCGGUGCGUGCGCGGGGCAUGCCGGGACUGGUGGUGCGCUGUGGACAGCUGCAGGUGAACCGCUGCACUGUGUCCCGCGGAGGCGCGACUGCUCGGUGAUUCCUGGGGUUCUAGACACCGUCUGUCCGGGUGAGAGCCAGCUUUUCUGGAAGAGGAUUUCAAGAGCGGUUGAAAUGAGCAGUCGUAAAGCAAAGAGUAACAACUUAAUAGAUGCCGAGUGCCUUUCACAGGUACAAAGAAUUUUACGUGAAAGAUUUUGUCAUCAGAGCCCACAUGGGAGCCUAUUUGGAGUUCAAGUACAAUAUAAACAUGUAGUUGAGCUUCUUAAAAGAACUGCUAUCCAUGGAGAAAGUAACUCUGUCCUCAUUAUUGGACCUCGAGGAUCUGGAAAGACCAUGUUAAUAAACCACGCUUUGAAGGAAGUAAUGGAAGUUGAAGAAGUGAGUGAAAAUAUAUUGCAAGUUCACCUCAAUGGACUGCUGCAGAUUAAUGAUAAGAUUGCUCUAAAGGAAAUCACAAGGCAAUUAAACCUGGAAAAUGUGGUGGAAGACAAAGUCUUUGGAAGCUUUGCUGAAAACCUUUCAUUUCUUCUGGAAGCUUUAAAAAAAGGUGACCGGACUAGUAGUUGUCCAGUGAUUUUCGUUUUAGAUGAAUUUGAUCUUUUUGCUCAUCAUAAAAACCAAACACUCCUUUAUAAUCUAUUUGACAUUUCUCAGUCUGCACAGACUCCAGUAGCAGUUAUUGGUCUUACUUGCAGAUUGGAUAUUUUAGAACUGUUAGAGAAAAGGGUGAAGUCACGAUUUUCUCACCGACAGAUACACUUGAUGAAUUCAUUUGGCUUUCCACAAUAUAUUAAAAUAUUUAAGGAACAGUUAUCUCUACCUGCAGAAUUUUCAAACAAGAUUUUUGCUGAGAAGUGGAAUCAUCAAGUUCAGUGCCUCUCAGAAGAUGGAAGUGUGCGAGAAGUACUGCAGAAACAUUUUAAUGCCAGCAAAAGCCUGCGGUCAUUGCAUAUGCUAUUGAUGCUGGCUUUAAAUCGUGUAACAUCAUCACACCCGUUUAUAACUGCAGCAGAUCUGAUGGAGGCAAACCAACUGUGUAGCAUGGACUCGAAAGCAAACAUUGUACAUGGUCUGUCAGUCUUGGAAAUUUGUCUUAUAAUAGCAAUGAAACACUUAAAUGACGUCUAUGAAGAGGAGCCUUUUAAUUUUCAGAUGGUUUAUAAUGAGUUUCAGAAGUUUGUUCAGAGGAAAGCACAUUCUGUUUAUAAUUUUGAGAAACCUGUUGUCAUGAAGGCUUUUGAACAUUUACAACAAUUAGAAUUAAUAAGGCCCUUGGAAAGAACUUCAGUAAAUGCACAGAGAGAGUACCAGCUGAUGAAGCUUCUUUUGGAUAAUACUCAGAUUAUGAAUGCUUUGCAGAAAUACCCCAACUGCCCUACAGAUGUAAGGCAGUGGGCAACAUCCUCACUGAGCUGGUUAUAAGUGUAACCAGUGGCUUCAGUUAGGGAAUCUCAGACUUACUUUCCCAAAGAACUUGAAAGCUGUUGUACUUAAAAAGACUUGUUGCUACAUUUUCUUAUAUUUAUAUGUGUUAUUUUUUUAUUUGUGGGGGACUCUUAUACAUAGUAUCUAAACUGUCUUGCAAUUUGAAUAAUAACCAGUUAUAUGAUUCUCAAUUCCAGUGAUUAAGAUUAUGUUGUAAGAAGCAGUACCAAAAUAGAAGUAACUGUUUUAGAGAUGGCCCAUGUAUUUUGAAAUUCUUUUUUUUAUAUAAUUUUUUUUAAUAUUUAUUUACUCUCUUUUGUUGCCCUUGUUUUAUUGUCGUAGAUAUUAUUGUUGUUAGUAAUUGUCGUAGAUAUUAUUGUUGUUAGUAAUCAUCAUUGUUGGAUAGGACAGAGAGAAAUGGAGAGAGAAGGGGAAGACAGGGGGAGAGAAAGACAGACACCUGCAGACCUGCUUCACCUGUGAAGCGACUCCCCUGCAGGUGGGGAGCCAGGGGUUCGAACUGGGAUCCUUAAGCCGGUCCUUGUGCUUUAACCCGCUGCGCUACCACCUGACUCCCGUGUUUUGAAAUUCUUAUGUAGUGCUUUAAAAAAAAAAAACAAAACCAUCCCAACCCAGAUGUUUUUAUAAAUUGUAGUAAAGAACCAGAAGGGGGCCGAGUGAUUGAGCACCUGGUUAAGUGCAUGUUACAGUUCACAAGGACUCAGGUACAAGCCCUUAGUCCCCACCUACAGGGAGAAGUCUUUGCAAAUGGUGAAGCAGGUCUACAGGUGUCUCUCUCCCCAUCUCCCUCUGCCCUCUUGAUUUCUGGCUGGCUGUCUCUAUCCAGCAAAUAAAGAUGAGAGAAAGACAAAGAAGAGCUGAUGUGAUGAAUUAUCUUCUUGUGCUGCAUUUUCCUUUUUGUACCCAUAAAUUUUAGAUUCCAUUCCGGGCCAAGUCUUCAACUUCAGAAGACUGACCAAUGUGUCCAGAAGAGAGUUCACAUGAUGAAAAAAAACCAAAGAACAUUACCAUGAAAGAUAGUGCAAGUUCAUGGCACCAACAAUUGUGAAGCACAGUCUCUGUUCUGGAGUUCCCAACGUACCUGUAAUAAACAUUUGAACAAGAAUCACACAUCACAUGCUAAAAACUUCCUAGCAUCUAAAAUACAUCACAAGAACUGUGCAGGGCAAAAACUUUGAAUAAAGCCAAACACUGGUUAACCCAUCAGUCCUAUGGCAGUUAAUCAUCAAACGUUUCUUAAGUAGAGAUCUUGACAAGGUAAAGAAAAUGACAGAGCAGCAGUUCUGAUGGAUAUCAGAAAGGCAAAAUACAGACGAGUCAUCAUAAGCACCAUACACAUGAGGAAAAAAAUUAUUGGGGUCUCAGUUUGCCCCAAAAGAAGUCAUCAUUUUACUCCAACAACUUUGAUCUUUUUUUUUUCUCCCAGUAUCCCUAGCUCUCAAACUUUGUUAGCUUGCCUACUAUGCUGUAAACCAAACAUGAAAAUGCCCUGCAAAAGAAAGUUUUAACAAAACUAGGUAUCACUGGUAUUUUCUUAUAUUACAAUUUUUUAAAGUUUUUUUUCCCACUAAUAUAGUUCUCAAAAGGAAACUAAUUUUGAAACUGGCUAGCUAGAAUUAAGCAACACCCAGGAUUUCUUUUAAAAAUUGAACACAGAGAAAACUAUCUGUAACAGAUUAUAUGAACUUCUCUAGUGCUAAUAUAAGCCAAACAUUCAUCAUAAUAUUCCUUGGCUGUAGUUUGAUUUUUAAAAACCGGGUCAAUUUUUUAGAACAGACAGAAAAUAGCUUUCAGUAGAGUAAUGAUUUCCAUGUAUAAUCAAUCAUUCUUACUAUUUUUCCUUCUUGAUUAGUUUCAAAGUAGUAACAAAACCAAAUCAAGAAAUUGACCAAAACCAUUUUUUAUAUAGUGUGUGGCACACAGACACAAUGCUAUUACACUUCUUUCCUCCCUGCUUAGAGUCGGUUGACCUACAUAUUAUUUAUAAAUAAUAUAACUUAUUAUUCCCAGAGAUAAGUGCAUACUAUAUGUAAAAUGUAGUGUAUUAUGUGGUUAAAUAGCCAUCAGAAGAUAACACAUUCACAGUGAGUUCCUAAUAGACAUUUAAAAUUUAAUAAAUUUAAUGUAUGGGUUUUUUAAUGGCCUGAAAAAAGUAAAUAGCAUCAUACUGUCAAUUUGUUGGUCAGUAAUACAGAAACUCAGGAGCUGUUUUGGCCUGGAUAAAUUUGAGGAUGACUUCAAUCUGAAGAUGAAUCCAGUGAAUUCUAAUGUAAUUUUGUUUUGAAAAGUACUUCGGCACCUACCAACCAUCAGUUCCAUUUUCUUAUCAAGGAUAAGGCAUUAAUUAAUAGCAGUUUUGAAAGCAAUUUGCAGGAAGAAGCUAAGCUAAAUUACCGUUGCUUACCUCUUUGUCAUUGCAUAUUUCACGAUAAAAGUUUAACUUGUCAUCCCUGA